rnacentral:misc_RNA from 1 species
UAGGAAUCUUGCUUCUCAACAAAUAUUUUCUUGUACAGAAUUUUUAUUCAAUAUCAGUCUUAUACAUAUAUUCAAGGGAAGCAAAAAAAGACUUCUCCUUCAUUUCCCACUAAAAAAUGAACGUAGAAUACUAGCAACAAGAGGAAGACCCAAUAGUACUUUAGAGAGGCUGGGAGGUUCCAAUCUGGUGCAUGGUGUUGCUUGUUGGAAGCUGAUUUGAAGCAUCAGCUAGAGCUACAGCUGCAGCUGGGGUCAUGGUUUGGUACUGAGAAGGCAAUGGGGAAGCUUGAAUCUGAUGAGUGUAAUAGACUUGUUCAGGUGUGGCAUUGGCAUAUUCAAAACCAUAAUUAGCAUUAGCACCAGCAGGAACGGCAAUGGAUUGAGAUAGCUGUUGCACUGGAGCAUAACCCACAUAUUGUUGCUGAAAUUGAGUAGCUGGGAUUGGGACAAAUGUGGGUGUUGAGGUCACGGCUGUUCUAUAAACACCUGCAGCCGUUUCGGGCUUAGCUAGGACGGCGCUGGUGCCUGCUGCCUUUGUGGGGUAAAGGGGUGGAUGUGAAAGUGUGUCCUUGUAAACUGCAGAAGCAGCAACUAUGUUAGGAGUUGGAGGUG